GCAGUCGCCACGGGAAUACGGAGGGUGCGAGCGUUAAUCGGAAUUACUGGGCGUAAAGCGUACGCAGGCGGUUUGUUAAGUCAGAUGUGAAAUCCCCGAGCUUAACUCGGGAACUGCAUUUGAAACUGGCAGGCUAGAGUCUCGUAGAGGGGGGUAGAAUUCCAGGUGUAGCAGUGAAAUGCGUAGAGAUGUGGAGGAACACCUGUGGCGAAAGCGGCUCACUGGACCAUAACUGACGCUGAGGCACGAAAGCUAGGGGAGCAAACAGGAUUAGAUACCCCAGUAGUCCCUGUCUCUUAUAC
rnacentral:rRNA from 1 species